CAGUCGCCGCGGGAAUACGGAGGGUGCAAGCGUUAAUCGGAAUUACUGGGCGUAAAGCGCACGCAGGCGGUCUGACAAGUCAGAUGUGAAAUCCCCGGGCUUAACCUGGGAACUGCAUUUGAAACUGGCAGGCUAGAGUAUGGCAGAGGGGGGUGGAAUUCCGCGUGUAGCAGUGAAAUGCGUAGAUAUGCGGAGGAACACCGAUGGCGAAGGCAGCCCCCUGGGCCAAUACUGACGCUCAUGCACGAAAGCGUGGGGAGCAAACAGGAUUAGAUACCCGGGUAGUCCCUGUCUCUUAUAC
rnacentral:rRNA from 1 species